GUGCGGUCCAGUUUUCCUUUCUGCUAUAACAGGAAAGCACACUGAGUUCAAUGCCUCACAAUUGCUGGCUCUCCCUCUCUCCAAAGCACAGAAAUGCUCUUUGCACCACACCAUCACUGCCAGGGGAUGGAGGAGGGGUUGCACUGGUGAUUCAAGACUGUCCUACUUCUUCAGUGCCUCCUUCAGUGAUAUGAAGCCAAAACCAGACCAGGAAACUUUUUCAGCUUUGUGACUGAGAGACAGCCAGCCUUUCAGCUGGGUGAGCUUUCCAGUUGCAUGAGAAAGAGCUUCAUAAGAAACCACCUACAAUCUUCCCAUCCAAAAAAAUAGAAAAAAAGAAAGAGAAGAAUAUAAAAAGAAUUGCUUCUCCUCCAAAAAAACAGCUUCUGGGUGCUGCUGAAAUGAGUGAGCAGGGUAAUUGAUGAGAGUUUGGGAGCUGGGAGAGCAGUGAGCUGAUGCUUGGAGCCUUGCCGCGAUCGGACACAGUAGGUUAAUUUUCCCCUCAACAUGCAGGACCAUACCUAAUGAUUCCUUACAUCAAAACAGAAUACAAAGUACAGAGGAUUUGACACACAGCAAUUCCUACCAUCCUCUUGGCCCCCCAGCCCGGGAUAUUGAAGCCAAAGUUGAAUAUGAAAAGCAUAUUUUCCCAAACUCCUAUUUUAAAAGCAGACACUAUCUUAAUGGCACAGUGAUAAAAAUUACAUUCAGUU